AUAUGUAUGUAUAUAUUUGUAAUAGCUUUUAAAACCAAAAUGUGGAAAUAAUUCAUGUGAAAUGUCAAACGAUUUCUAAUCAAAUCAAGUUAACAGAGAAAAAAUGAGGCCAUAAACAAGCUUCUUUAUUUUUUUUUUUUUUUGCCUGUCAUGACAAAUAGAGCGAUAGAUGGAGAGGGAGAGGGAGAGCGGUCGAUUGACACCUGUUUCCCAUUACCCCCCGGUCAUAGGCGAAAGAAGUUUAUUGAUGGCAUAAAUAAAAGCACACCAGGACAACAGGACAUCAGGAUACACAACAUACACUCGUAUAUUGAGUGAAUGAUUCUCCAAUACUAUAGACAAAGGCCAAGGACUUGGCUUGAAAUUCGUUUUAUGCCCGUUAAGCGCCGUGAACGGUAGAGAGGUGUAUAUACAUAUAUAUAUAUCCUUGUGAUGCUAUAUAUGAGAGGAUGGGAAUAGGUAGGGGUAUUGUCAUUGCCUAAUCUCACUCACACAUGUCUAUUGUCCUGCUCAUCGUCCUGCGCAUAUCAAUGGAAAUUUUUGUGUCUCUUUAAUAAAACCAUGCCAAAAUAUACACAGCCAAUAAAUGAAAGAGAUGGCCAAUUGGACCUUAAUAGAUACACACACACACUCACACACACAUUGAUAGAUAGACAGAUAGAUAAAUAAAUGCUCACCCCAACAGUCUAAUAAAGCAAUCAAAAUAUAA